UGUGCGGCGUCUUGGCACAAGCAUUUCAGUGCCCAGUCUGACUCUGUUGUUGUUCUGUGCAUCUGACAACAAAACACUGGAACUUGAAGGACACUAGAUCUCAACACUGGGGUGUGUAGGGGAGGUCACAGAAAUGUGACAUCGGACACUAGAUCUCAACACUGGGGUGUGUAGGGGAGGUUAUAGAAAUGUGACAUCGGACACUAGAUCUCAACACUGGGGUGUGUAGGGGAGGUUACAGAAAUGUGACAUCGGACACUAGAUCUCAACACUGGGGUGUGUAGGGGAGGUCACAGAAAUGUGACAUCGGACACUAGAUCUCAACACUGGGGUGUGUAGGGGAGGUUAUAGAAAUGUGACAUCGGACACUAGAUCUCAACACUGGGGUGUGUAGGGGAGGUUAUAGAAAUGUGACUUAUCGCAGGUGAGAACAGGUGGAGGACAGUAGAAUAGAGGUAAUAGUGACAUCGGUCAAGUUAUUUAUUUAUUUAUUGAUUGAUUUAUCUUUAUUAUCUUGCAGUAAAGAUUUGGGGCCAAGAGGUUGAAUGUUGAAAGUUUCUUUUUAAAGUUCCGUGCUUC